UGGGGGAUAUUGCACAACGGGGGGAACCCUGAUGCAGCGACGCCGCGUGGGUGAAGAAGCGCCUCGGCGCGUAAAGCCCUGUCAGCAGGGAAGAAAAUGACGGUACCUGAAGAAGAAGCCCCGGCUAACUACGUGCC
rnacentral:rRNA from 1 species